rnacentral:lncRNA from 1 species
AGGACUCAUGCUUUGCUUAAUGCAUUCCUUUUCGUAGCUCCUCAAGCUUUGUUUUAUUAUAUCAUUUUCCUUUGCGUUCAUCGGUUGCAUGGCAAAUUUAGCAAGCUUCCUGCAGGUACUAAAUUGGCAAGUUGUCUAGUAUUAUCUCUUCAAACUUUUCUGACAAGCGUUGAACUCUGGCUGAAAUCUCAACCUCUAGUGUCUC